rnacentral:rRNA from 1 species
GACGAACGCUGGCGGCGUGCUUAACACAUGCAAGUCGAGCGGAAAGGCCCUGCUUUUGUGGGUUGCUCGAUUGGCGAACGGGUGAGUAACACGUGAGUAACCUGCCCUUGACUUUGGGAUAACUUCAGGAAACUGGGGCUAAUACCGGAUAUGAGCUCCUGCUGCAUGGUGGGGGUUGGAAAGUGUCGGCGUUUGGGGCUGGACUCGCUGCUUAUCAGCUUGUUUGUGGGGUAGUUGCUUACCAAGGCUUUGACGGGUAGCCGGCCUGAGAGGGUGACCGGCCACAUUGGGACUGAGAUACGGCGCAGAAUCCUACGGGCGGCAGCAGUCGGGAAUCUUGCACAAUGGGGGGAAGCCUGAUGCAGAAACGCCGCGUGCGGGAUGAUGGCCUUCGGGUUGUAAACAGAUUUCGCCUGUGCCGAACCGUGAGUGACGGUAAUGGGUAAAGAAGCCACGGCUAACUACGUG